AGUGAACGCUGGCGGUAGGCCUAACACAUGCAAGUCGAACGGCAGCACAGGAGAGCUUGCUCUCUGGGUGGCGAGUGGCGGACGGGUGAAGAAUACAUCGGAAUCUACUCUGUCGUGGGGGAUAACGUAGGGAAACUUACGCUAAUACCGCAUACGACCUACGGGUGAAAGCAGGGGAUCGUCGGACCUUGCGCGAUUGAAUGAGCCGAUGUCGGAUUAGCUAGUUGGCGGGGUAAAGGCCCACCAAGGCGACGAUCCGUAGCUGGUCUGAGAGGAUGAUCAGCCACACUGGAACUGAGACACGGUCCAGACUCCUACGGGAGGCAGCAGUGGGGAAUAUUGGACAAUGGGCGCAAGCCUGAUCCAGCCAUACCGCGUGGGUGAAGAAGGCCUUCGGGUUGUAAAGCCCUUUUGUUGGGAAAGAAAUCCAGCUGGCUAAUACCCGGUUGGGAUGACGGUACCCAAAGAAUAAGCACCGGCUAACUUCGUGCCAGCCGCCGCCGUAA
rnacentral:rRNA from 1 species